AACUGAAGAUGUGCCCACCAACUAAGGACUGGACUGGGGGACCCCUGGAAAACUGUCCCUGCAGGAACAGAAAGGACGAUGGGAUGGAUCUGUUCACGGAGUGGAAGUAGGCCACUGCUAGGAAGCCUGACAGGGAACCCGAAGCAGGGAGGGAUCCCAGGAGAAGCCCAGCUACCACUUGGCUCCCACAAAAUGGUCGCCUUGAGACUCUUUAUAGAAGAGGAGAAAAUACCACCACCACCACCACCACCACCACCACCAUUUAAUAACCCUGCCCUAAAUGUGGAGAAAGCAACCACCCACCCCCAAAGGAAACUACGACAGGGUACAUGUAUACUACAUACAGCAUUGACCAAGUAAUUUGCAUCAAUAAGUGAUGUUGUACUUUUGACUGGAGAAGCAGCUCCCCCACCGUCUGAGGGAAAUAGUCUUACCCCACCCCCAGGACCCCUCAAGAAAAGGUUUCAAUGGCUUCACCUAAGACAAUACCAUCAUGACAGAGAGCAGUGAUCUUCAGCCUCCACGUCUGCUAUCUGUGUUUACUUCCUGGAAAAUAACGGAAUGCCAGUGUACUCCAAAUGGAAGUAUGGGAUCAGGUCCAUACAGGAUUAGGUGCCCAUGCAGGGGAGUAGCAGGGUAUUACCACUUCACACUGGUAGGAGACUGGGGAACAAGUAUGGGUGUGGAUUUACAGAGUAUUAAACAAAAGAGAGUGGCGUACGAUAGGCCAGACAUGGAUACAGGGUUCCUCCUGCAGGAAAUGUGAUUUAACAUGUUGCCUUGAGAACUGAGAAUGGUCAUAAUAAUGACUCAGUGGCUGCCUUCAGUCAACUAGGUUGAAAUGCCAGAGCUUCCCUGACUUUCUCAGGGAAGGAAGACUCCAAGGUCCGAGGGAGAUGGGAAUGGGGACCUGUUGUGUGCACACCUGCUCGUUUACCACAAAGUUGGUGGCUUAUGAGAACAAAACCGUAUUCUCUCACGGUUCUGGAGGCCAGGAACCCAAAAUUCAUUUCAUGGAAACUAAGGUGUCAGCAGGGCUGUACUCCCUCUGGAGAUCCCAGGGCUCCAGGGAACAGUGUAUCCCUUCCCUCUGGUAGCUUCCGGUGGCCACCAACCUCCCUUGGCUUGUGCCCACAUCACCCCAGUCUGUCUCCAUGGACACAGUGCCUCCUCUUUUGUCAAGUCUCCCUUUGCUUCUCUAAGGAUGCUCGUGAUUCCAUGUAGGGCUCACUCAGACAACCCAGGACUCAAGAUCCUUAACUAGAUCCCAUUGAUGGGAGUUAGAUCCCAGGUAUCAGGGCUUGAUUUCUUUGAGGGCCAUUGUGCAGCCUAGUACAACGUGUCCUUCCAUAGGGAGACAGCCAAACCAUGCUAGCCCCGUGCGGUGGGCUGCUCACCGGUGAGCAGUGCCAGGGCACGCACUGCUGAUAGACACUGCAGCAGGACCGAAUCUCCAGGGAAUUAUGUCCAGAGGGGAGAAAGCGAAUCCUGAAAGGGUCACACGCUUUUCGAUUCCACUUGUGUAAUACUCUCGAGGGGACAAAAUCAUAGAAAUGGAGAGCAGAUGAGGGAUUGCCAGGCAUCACGAAGAUGACGGGGGCAAGAAGGAGGUGGGAAUGUCUGCUCUAAGAGGACAACAUGGGGGUCCCUGUGGAGGGCCCGAUGCUCUGUUUCUCAUGUGCAUCGCUUUUGAAAUCCCAGCCGUGAUCCCGUCCUACAGUCAGAACGUAGGGCAUCUUCACGGUGUUUGCCAAUCACACACAGUCCCAGCAACCCCACAGCCGCCCACCUUGCUACAUCUGUCCCCACGGCUCUGGCUGGUGUCCCGUUGCCACAGUUGAGCCGUGGUCCUAAGGGAGGAAGCCAUCUCGCUAACGCGGCUCCCGCACCGUUUCACUCUCUCCUGCACACCUGGGGGUUUCCUCGGGACCGGCCGUCCUGUGCACCUGCGGCUGUUUCUCCCGGCCCACGGGGGGCAAUCGCUUCCCAUCCACCACCACCUGUUUGUCUUCCUACGUCCUAGCGUUGCACGUGCCAGCACCUGCAGAUCUUCCCUCUGUCAGCUGAGCCUGAGCCGGCUUCCUCUCCCACUGGGUUCUAGUUCUCAUCUCAUUAAUGAACGACACUCACCUCGCUGAAGCUCACGGUGAAGUCUCAACCCCCAGUUUGCGGACUACGUGGCACCAUUCUACAGACACACGCUUGCAUCUGCCCUCUACCUCUAUACUCCAUGUUCCUGGCUGGCACUGGAAUUACAUCCUUAGCAUCAUGCACAUCAUAACCUCCAGGUGAGCUUCCUUUGGCCAAGGUUCUACUGGGAAGAAAGGAUCUUAGAAAAGAACCAGGAAGUUUGCAAGAAGGAAUGGAAGAGAACAGAAGGAAUCGAGAAAUUCUAGGACUUGAAUGGUUGAAAGGUGAAGUUGUGUUUUUUCUCCAACUAGUUAAAAAAGAGGAGAAACAGAAAUGCUUUAAGCAAUAAGGGCUCAUUGGGGUUCAGCCUUGGGACAAAGACCAGAUCAAGAGUGUGCCAUGUUAUAUAUUGUUAAAACCUCUACAUGGACAAAGUGUACUGC